rnacentral:rRNA from 1 species
CCGAAUUCGUCGACACAGAGUUUGAUCCUGGCUCAGAAUCAACGCUGGCGGCGUGCCUCAGACAUGCAAGUCGAACGCGAAAGUCCCCUUCGGGGGGCAAGUAGAGUGGCGCACGGGUGAGUAACACGUAGGUAAUCUACCUUCGGAUGGGGAAUAACAAUCGGAAACGGUUGCUAAUACCGCAUAAUGCAGCGGCACCUAAUGGUGACAGUUGUUAAAGCGGGGGAUCGAAAGACCUCGCGUCUGAAGAGGAGCCUGCGGCGGAUUAGCUAGUUGGUAGGGUAACGGCUUACCAAGGCAACGAUCCGUAGCCGGCCUGAGAGGGCGGUCGGCCACACUGACACUGACAUACGGGUCAGACUCCUACGGGAGGCAGCAGUCGGGAAUUUUGGGCAAUGGGCGAAAGCCUGACCCAGCAACGCCGCGUGAAGGAUGAAAUCCCUCGGGAUGUAAACUUCGCAAGAACGGGAAGAAUAAGUCUGUGUAAAUAUCACAGACGAUGACGGUACCGUUUGUAAGCUCCGGCUAACUCCGUGCCAGCAGCCGCGGUAAUACGGGGGGAGCAAGCGUUGUUCGGAUUUACUGGGCGUAAAGGGCGCGUAGGCGGCCACCGCAAGUCAAUUGUGAAAUCUCCGGGCUUAACUCGGAAAGGUCAACUGAUACUGCGGGGCUAGAGUGCGGAAGGGGCAACUGGAAUUCUCGGUGUAGCGGUGAAAUGCGUAGAUAUCGAGAGGAACACCUGCGGCGAAGGCGGGUUGCUGGGCCGACACUGACGCUGAUGCGCGAAAGCCAGGGGAGCGAACGGGAUUAGAUACCCCGGUAGUCCUGGCCUUAAACGAUGAAUGCUUGGUGUCUGGGGUUAUAAAGUCCCCGGGUGCCGUCGCUAACGCUUUAAGCAUUCCGCCUGGGGAGUACGGUCGCAAGAACUGAACUCAAAGGGAUUUGACGGGGACCCGCACAAGCGGGUGGAGCAUGUUGGUUUAAUUCGACGGCAACGCGAAAAACCUUACCUGGGCCUAGAAUGCCUUCUGAACACCUCCCGAAAAUGGGAGCCCUUUCUGG